rnacentral:tRNA from 1 species
GCGCUUAUAGUUUAAUGGUAGAACUCCGCUCUGUGGCAGCGGUAGCGAGGGUCCGAUUCCCUCUAAGCGCC